UAGCCAACUCAUAAGGCAUCACCCAUU
rnacentral:sRNA from 1 species